rnacentral:rRNA from 1 species
GAGCGAGCGAACUCUCGUUAAGGAACUCGGCAAAAUGACCCCGUAACUUCGGGAGAAGGGGUGCUCUUUAGGGUUAACGCCCAGAAGAGCCGCAGUGAAUAGGCCCAAGCGACUGUUUAUCAAAAACACAGGUCUCUGCUAAACCGUAAGGUGAUGUAUAGGGGCUGACGCCUGCCCGGUGCUGGAAGGUUAAGAGGAGUGGUUAGCUUCUGCGAAGCUACGAAUCGAAGCCCCAGUAAACGGCGGCCGUAACUAUAACGGUCCUAAGGUAGCGAAAUUCCUUGUCGGGUAAGUUCCGACCCGCACGAAAGGCGUAACGAUUUGGGCACUGUCUCAACGAGAGACUCGGUGAAAUCAUAGUACCUGUGAAGAUGCAGGUUACCCGCGACAGGACGGAAAGACCCCGUGGAGCUUUACUGUAGCCUGAUAUUGAAAUUCGGCACAGCUUGUACAGGAUAGGUAGGAGCCUUUGAAACGUGAGCGCUAGCUUACGUGGAGGCGCUGGUGGGAUACUACCCUAGCUGUGUUGGCUUUCUAACCCGCACCACUUAUCGUGGUGGGAGACAGUGUCAGGCGGGCAGUUUGACUGGGGCGGUCGCC